AGGACAGGAUCUAGGUGUGGCCAAAACUGUUUGCGAGAGUAGCCUAAGUUAUUGUUAAUAUGAAAGUGGAUAUUUUUAAUGGGAGGACAUUUUUCCAUUCUGAAAUCAUUGUUGUUCAUGCUUAUAAUAGUCCUUAUUUUAUUUUUCACGAUGGUGUUGACAUUUUCUAACAGUGUAGCCUAAUAUCAAUCUUUGAACUGGUCAAUCCGGCUCCUCGUGUAUAACCAUGUCGGGGCGAUAUGGCCAGCUUCUGUGCCACCACCAUUACCAUGGCAGUGCCCUUUUCCACUGCCAUCCUCCGAGACGAAGAAAGUGAUGUCACACUUAGGGACCAGGAUUCUUACGGUCUCCUGGAGCUGCUUACUGAUGCUGAAGGGAAGAGAAACAGGGGGAUAACACUGUUGAGAGAGACAGGGAGAUAGCCAUACUUUGAUUUGACUACCUGCACACCUGAUACUGACAUUGGUCCUCCUGACAGUGCAAAGGGGUGAAUGAGAGAUACAAUUGGAAAAUAACUAUUCCAUCAUGUGAAAUUCCUGCAUUUAGACAAACAGAGUGGAAAGGCAGGGAUAAGGUUGAGGGAGGGGUGUAAAUUAACUUUGGGAUAGUGGUUAGACCGACAUAUUACUGAGAUUCAGUGACUUGUGAAUACGCUGAGGAAACAAAGGCAGGAAAUCCACAUUGUUAUUAUGGCAGCACAAGAGGAUAUUCUCCAUUCAAUCAAGUGACAAGAAUAUAAAAAGCAGGAUUUAUCUGUAACUUUCCACUUAAACUGAAAUAACCCUGUGGACCAUUUCUAUCUGAGGUGAACAUAUUUUUACGAUAUAUCGUAUCGACAUUAUCACAAUAUAGUUUUUGCGCUAGUUGUCUGUACCUGCACCAAAAUUCCAGUAUUUUUCCUUCAUAACUAGUUCUUCAACCUUCUUUUUAAUAAAGGAGCUCAUUUGUUUUCAGCACUAACAAUA